GGUACCACACGACAGCUUGCUCUCUGGGUGACGAGCGGCGGACGGGUGAGUAAUGUCUGGGAAACUGCCUGAUGGAGGGGGAUAACUACUGGAAACGGUAGCUAAUACCGCAUAACGUCGCAAGACCAAAGAGGGGGACCUUCGGGCCUCUUGCCAUCAGAUGUGCCCAGAUGGGAUUAGCUAGUAGGUGGGGUAAUGGCUCACCUAGGCGACGAUCCCUAGCUGGUCUGAGAGGAUGACCAGCCACACUGGAACUGAGACACGGUCCAGACUCCUACGGGAGGCAGCAGUGGGGAAUAUUGCACAAUGGGCGCAAGCCUGAUGCAGCCAUGCCGCGUGUGUGAAGAAGGCCUUCGGGUUGUAAAGCACUUUCAGCGAGGAGGAAGGUGGUGAGCUUAAUACGCUCAUCAAUUGACGUUACUCGCAGAAGAAGCACCGGCUAACUCCGUGCCAGCAGCCGCGGUAAUACGGAGGGUGCAAGCGUUAAUCGGAAUUACUGGGCGUAAAGCGCACGCAGGCGGUUUGUUAAGUCAGAUGUGAAAUCCCCGGGCUCAACCUGGGAACUGCAUUUGAAACUGGCAAGCUAGAGUCUCGUAGAGGGGGGUAGAAUUCCAGGUGUAGCGGUGAAAUGCGUAUAGAUCUGGAGGAAUACCGGUGGCGAAGGCGGCCCCCUGGACGAAGACUGACGCUCACGUGCGAAAGCGUGGGGGAGCAAACAGGAUUAGAUACCCUGGUAGUCCACGCUGUAAACGAUGUCGAUUUGGAGGUUGUGCCCUUGAGGCGUGGCUUCCGGAGCUAACGCGUUUAAUCGACCGCCUGGGGAGUACGGCCGCAAGGUUAAAACU
rnacentral:rRNA from 1 species